GACAGAGGGUGCAAACGUUGUUCGGAAUUACUGGGCGUAAAGGGCUCGUAGGCGGCCCUCUCAGUCGGAUGUGAAAUCCCCAGGCUCAACCUGGGAAUGGCAUCCGAUACUGGAGGGCUUGAAUCCGGGAGAGGGAUGCGGAAUUCCAGGUGUAGCGGUGAAAUGCGUAGAUAUCUGGAGGAACACCGGUGGCGAAGGCGGCAUCCUGGACCGGCAUUGACGCUGAGGAGCGAAAGCCAGGGGAGCAAACGGG
rnacentral:rRNA from 1 species